GAUGAACGCUGGCGGCGUGCCUAAUACAUGCAAGUCGAGCGAACGGACGAGAAGCUUGCUUCUCUGAUGUUAGCGGCGGACGGGUGAGUAACACGUGGAUAACCUACCUAUAAGACUGGGAUAACUUCGGGAAACCGGAGCUAAUACCGGAUAAUAUUUUGAACCGCAUGGUUCAAACGUGAAAGACGGUCUUGCUGUCACUUAUAGAUGGAUCCGCGCUGCAUUAGCUAGUUGGUAAGGUAACGGCUUACCAAGGCAACGAUGCAUAGCCGACCUGAGAGGGUGAUCGGCCACACGGGAACUGAGACAGGGCCCAGACUCCUGCGGGAGGAAGCAGUAGGGAAUCUUCCGCAAUGGGCGAGAGCCUGACGGAGCAACGCCGCGUGAGUGAUGAAGGUCUUCGGAUCGUAAAACUCUGUUAUUAGGGAAGAACAUAUGUGUAAGUAACUGUGCACAUCUUGACGGUACCUAAUCAGAAAGCCACGGCUAACUACGUG
rnacentral:rRNA from 1 species